rnacentral:tRNA from 1 species
GCGGUCGUGGCGGAAUGGCAGACGCGCUAGGUUGAGGGGUUCAAGUCCUCUCGGCCGCACCA